rnacentral:rRNA from 1 species
GAUGAACGCUGGCGGCGUGCCUAAUACAUGCAAGUCGAGCGAACAGAUGAGGAGCUUGCUCCUCUGACGUUAGCGGCGGACGGGUGAGUAACACGUGGAUAACCUACCUAUAAGACUGGGAUAACUUCGGGAAACCGGAGCUAAUACCGGAUAAUAUAUUGAACCGCAUGGUUCAAUAGUGAAAGACGGUUUUGCUGUCACUUAUAGAUGGAUCCGCGCCGCAUUAGCUAGUUGGUAAGGUAACGGCUUACCAAGGCGACGAUGCGUAGCCGACCUGAGAGGGGGAUCGGCCACACGGGAACUGAGACACGGUCCAGACUCCAACGGGAGGCAGCAGUAGGGAAUCUUCCGCAAUGGGCGAAAGCCUGACGGAGCAACGCCGCGUGAGUGAUGAAGGUCUUCGGAUCGUAAAACUCUGUUAUUAGGGAGAACAAAUGUGUAAGUAACUAUGCACGUCUUAACGGUACCUAAUCAGAAAGCCACGGCUAACUACGUG